rnacentral:lncRNA from 1 species
AAAAUUGGUCUAGGUUUUAACACUAAUGUUCGAUUUAAUGAGCUUACCAAAAUUAACUAUAGGUGAUGUGAUAACUGUCUCAAGCAACUCUUACACGGGAUUGCUCCAAAGAAACCCUAGACUCCUUGUUUGAUAAACAUUUUGUAUACAAAGGAGUAUUAUGACCAUUUACAAAUAUUUAAGAUCUGUUAAAAAAACUACAAAUAAAAAGCGUCAUUUUUCUUAAUGGUUGGGCUGUAUGUGACGAUAUGUACAAUUUUAGGGGAGGUUGAUGCAAAUCACCAUCGCUNAAAAAGCAAUGCAUUUUUCUGCUAUCUCAUAAACAUGGUAAUUAUGGGUGAUUCAGAAAAAUAAAUAGGACUUCUUAGGGCAGGGGUAUUUUAGGUAACUAGAUUGUUUUAGUUUCUUAUGCACGGUAAAUGAAUUAGACAAGUAGAAAGACUAAAAGAAAACUAUGUUGUUAUUACUUAGCAAUUUCUUAUAUACUUUAACAACAAUGUACAUUGAAAUAUUUGGACAUUUAUCUAAUUAUAUUUAAUUGCACUUUUUUACCUUUAAUUUUAACAAUAAUGUUUUUGUAACACCUCAAAUCUUAGACCAAUUUUUUUUUUUCAUUUUAAAUUUACCGAAAACAAGUUUCACAAAUAAAGUUAUCAAACACAUAAUAAUCCAAAACAACCGUUUUCACAAAAUAUCAGAGUUUUUGAAACUGUCCCAAACCUCUAUCCAUCCUCCCAGCGAGUGUGCACAAUCAGACAUUCGCCUUCCCGCACUUCUCAAAACUACCUGAAACACAUAAAUCAACAACUGUAACCACGAAGCUUAGUGGGUUUUCCAAGAUAUCACACACAACACUACAUAAAUAAAUAGCUAUGGGUUAUCAGCAACCUUGGGGACUAUCAACAAUACCAGCGGGCAACAACACACCUUAUGAGUUUUCAGCAACUCUAGGGACUGUCCUCAGUCUCAGUCACACGUAACAACGUAACACAAAAUAACAGCAGACCCAACUGAUCAUCAUAAAUACAACUAUUCUACCAGACAGGUAAGGAUAACUGAGGAGACUCGCCUUAUACUAUCGACAAGUAAAUGUCAUAGCCGAACUGCCAGAAUUAGACUUCUCCUAUCGAACGAAAUAAUUAACCCUACUUAGUAUUUAACAUCCAAAUCUAAGUCAAAAGUCAACGAAAUUCGACUGCUCAAUGCGUAUGCUUGGCGUAUACUUCGUUACACGGGGCGUACAAUGCGAACAGUGACCAGACGGCGAAGGAACUGGCUGAUGGGUUUUAUACAAAACAACAUCCUAUGCGCUCAUGCAAACCCUAAAGCUUGGAUCUAGGUUUCUCUAUUUUACAUGCAAUUCAUCCAAGGCUACCAAAAAUUGGCAUCCAAGUGAUCUUAGAAGAGUCCAUUUUCUCAGCUCCUAACUAUGUGUAAAAAUCCAACAAAUAUUUUCUAAAUUUUUCAUAUUGCAUUCCUAAUUUUCCCAAUUGGGCCCAAGUAUAUCCAUUAGGCCUUAUCCUAUAGCUCAAUCCAAAUAUUAUAGUCCAUAUGCUUGUUUUUGGAUUGCCCAUCAGUAGCCCAAUCACCAAAGCCCAAUAGAAAGGCCAAACUCAAGGCCAAAGCAAAAUUAGGGUUUCUCACAUGAAAUGACGAUUGGGGUUAAGUAAUCUAACUUAACCCAUUAAACACUUAAUCCAUUAAAGUCCAUCACUCUAUUAGGCCAUUCAUACAAUGUAGUUGGACACAAAUCAAAAUUCCAGUAUAAUAGUCCAAACGCGUGUCCCGACAAUUCCCAAAGUAACAUUCCCAGAGUUAGGGUUUUAUAAACCCUAAUUAGGGUUUCCAAUCCAAUCACAAUCCUACUGAGUCCAAGAUUAAGCAACUAGGCCAAUUAGGGUUCCACAAGGCCAGACACCACCCACUGCCACCUCGGCGGUGGUGGUCGGCAACAGCCAUAAUUUGCAAUGGUGGUGGUGGUGGUAGUUCCUGCCCAAAAAUUCCUUAUACCACUUCACACAUAAUAUACACACACACACGUAGCCACUAGAGUUGGUGGUUAGUGGUGGAAAAACGGUGGCAGCCACCACCUCAUGGUGGUGGUGACGGACCUUCAUUGAUUUUCCGGCCAAAAAUGGCUCAUACAGCAACAAUAACACUGAAAACAACAUAUAUUCUAGACAUACAUCCACCCAGCCACCUUCCAUGCGGCUGAUUUUUCCGGAAAGUUACGAAACCAGUUGCCAAAGGCCACCGACGGCAGCGGUGAAGCAUCUGAUGUCGAACACGCACAAAGGGACGGAGGAAAGGAGGGAGACAAGUGGCAGAUGGUCUUACCUGAAGCCUCUCGGUAGGUCACGCCCUUGCUGCAGUGAACACGUCCUUUUGUCGACCAUCAGCGGUUUUCCGGGUUGUUUACGAUGUCUCCGGCAGCGACGUUGUGGCAUUUAGAUGGCGAUGGAUCGGCGGCAACGACGUUGUGGCGUGUAGGUGGAGUUUCGUUUUAUCUGGACGCAUCUAAGUAGUUUACUGAACCGUACCUUUUUUUAGAUUAACGAAUACAAGAAAAUGUUAGUUUGGUUAUUACAAUCUUUUAGUUUGAUGCAUAACUCUUGAUGUUGUUCCCAUUCAUAUUUUCAUUGAGAUAAAAAGUGUGCAAGUAUAAAACUAAUUUUGCUUCAUACUUUUUCUUAUAAUGAUGAGUUUAAAGGUGAUUAUGAAAUAAAAAAUGAUUGUGAUAUCAUCGAUCCAUUGAAGGUUUAUUAUCACCUUUAAAGUUAUUUAUUAUUAAUUUUUUUACAUAAAAAGUUUUUUUAAUCUACUUUAGGUAUGGUUAUAGAAGACUAAGUUUAUUUUACUUGGAACAAUCUAAGUACUUAGAAAGGUCUAUGCUUGGUUUUAUGAUGCUUGUAUUAGACGUGGAAAGAAGGUUAUAGAGGUGUAUAGUAUUGAUUAUACAUCUGAUUCCCAAAAAGGCAUAUCAUAUAUACAACGGAUUUCCGACGGCUAUGGCAAAUUUUAGCAACGAAUUUUUAGGUCGGUUAUUAGUACCGAUCAAUGACGAAUAUACUUUUUUGUAAAAAUUACCAAAAGAAUAACUCACUAACGAACUAUCGAUGAAAUUUAAUAAAAACUCACUAAUAGAUCACAUAUAGAUUUUAUGUGAUAGGCUAGCGGCGACUUUUGUAUAUAAAAAAAAAUAUAAAUUCAUGAAAAAAUUAACAAUAAUUACAUAUUUAACAAAGGAAAAAUCUUGAAACAUACAUCAAAUCUGUAUUUUAAAACCAUCAAAUAUAAAUCCACCAGUUGGGUAUUCAUUAUUCAUUCAUUCUUUGUUUACUUUACUUCUCCAUGCAAAGACAAAAUCCAAAACAAUCUUGAAAAUUAAUUCCACCUUGAGGACCCACCACCUCCAUUUCUAACAAAGAUGUUCCUUAGAAUGUCAGCAUUCAUUAGAAACAUGUUUCCCAAGGAAAACAAUCCACUUCUUAUCGGAAUAUGUGAUUCGGAUUCCGAUCCCUCCGAAAUGAGAAGACACCUUCAGAUCAACAAUCUCAUACUAAAUCGAGUGAAAACGAUGGAAAUUUUAGCAAAUUUAGAUUCAAAUUAACACACCUUCAGAUACAUCUUCUUGUGUUCCCUCAAACACCGUAUAUGAUAUUCCCUUUCACACUGCAAGGAGGAUAAAUCUAACAAUCAGAAAUCAAAACGCAGCAUAAUUGGAUUUUUUUGAAUGACCAUUUAUCCUUGUACCAAAACUAAAACAAGCACUAUACUACAGGGACCAAAUUUAUUGAUAUAUAUUUAAGGAAUGAGCAUGUCAAGAUCUAGUGAUCAGAUAUGCAACUUCUGUCAACAUUGCCAUCAUCUCCAAACAUCAUUCAGUAAGAAUGGAACAAGAUGUCAGAUUUAGACCUUACUUAAGCGUUACUUGAUAUAGCAUAAAUUGGAAAGUUGAGAAUUAAAAAUUUAUUGGCAUCAAAACAAUUACAUAAGAAAACGUUUUAUAAACUUACCUUUGAAAGGAGAACAGCAAUACAUGUGAAGCCUUUUUGUUACAAUCAAUGAAAACCUGCAGAAAUAAAAUAAAUGGUAAUCUACUGAUUAAUCUGUAGCAGCCGUGUAAAAGAAUAAUAAAAACACUACUUUAUAGUUUAUAGUUUAUACUCACAUGAAACAUUCACAUGAAAGAUAUCAAAAGCUUAUGAACAUUUUGUUAUCAUCAGAAACAUCUUUGCCAAGGAACACAAUCCACUUGACAUCAGAAAGGGUAAGGUACAGUGGCCUGGAGAAACCCACAAAACCAACCCUUGAAAUGCUAUGAACACCUAACUGGUACCGAUCUGAUUCAACUAGACUGACAACAGAUCAAGAAAGUGUGAGUCACAGGAGAACAGCAUAUAUAAACUUCGAAACUACAAAAAAAAAGGACAAAACAGCUUCAAAACACAUGAUUCAGAAUGAUAACUUACAUGGUUUUUCUUACAAAAUAUUGCGGAUCUUUGCUAGUUUUUUGAUCUGUGUGCAUGAUAGAGAAUUUUUUUUUUGAAAUCAACAAAUAAAAGUCUUGGUGAUUUGCAUGACCCAAAAGACACAGAUCGAUAACUUUAUCAAACCAAUGCAUGAUUUUCAGAUAUGCAUUAUCCUCCUAAGCUCUUAAUUAUUUGUGAAUAGUUUGAUGUUUGGAUCCUGGAUCUAGAUUCAGUUGAUUAUGACAGCGGCUGUGGAUCCUCAACAUCUAAUAUAUAUAGUAAGAAAAGUGUGGGCGUCAACCCUAAUCCUGAUCUCUAGCGAUGGUGAUUUGCAUCAACCUCCCCUAAAAUUGUACAUAUCGUCACAUACAGCCCAACCAUUAAGAAAAAUGACGCUUUUUAUUUGUAGUUUUUUUAACAGAUCUUAAAUAUUUGUAAAUGGUCAUAAUACUCCUUUGUAUACAUAACUAUUUUUUUAACGGUUCUUAUUUGUAAAUGGCCACACUAUCUUUAUUUGUAUUUUUUUUCAAAAACAUUUGAUACAUUUUUCUUGCUUGUUUAAGUGAGAAUAUCUUCAAUCAUUUGACAUUAUGAUUAUUCGAGGUUGACUAUACCUUAUUCAUUGUUUAGCCUUUCAACAUGACAGGCUGUCAUUAGCACAAACUUAUUAUAAUGUUUGGCUACAAAAUUAAAGUUUUCACAAAAAGUUGAAAUUAUGAUUGUGUUAAAUGAAAUCAUAAUAAUCUUGUAUAAUGAUAAUUAUAUUUAUUUAUAAAUUUAAUUUCAUGAAGAAACUGAUUGUAAUAAUGUAAAUAAGGUAAAAUUGUACAUAUAUUUAUCGUUUUGCACCCCCUCGAGUUAAACUCUCGAUGUCUAAGAAAGCUCAACGAGAAAGAUUCAAUUUUAUGAAAGGUCUGUCCGCAAGUUCACUUGGAUGAUUUUUCGAUUACUCACACCCGAUGUUUUGAUAUGUACACAUUGUGCUAUAUUCAUUGCGACAUUGCAUUUAAAGUAUAUUUGGAUUUCUUUUUUGUUUCAAUGCAGUAUGAGUUAUAGAACAUGUCAACGACAGUUAGAAUGAAUUUUGAUAAGCAUGCAAGAAACAUAACACAUGCACAAACCUCCACUGGACGAUUGAUUCUCGAGGAUCAAGUUUGUGGGUAAAUAUCCAUUGAUGGUCGAUCAUUAAUUUCCAGAAUGACAUAGUGUAGAAUAUUUAUCAAAAUAUAUUUCUAAAAUUGGUCUAGGUUUUAACACUAAUGUUCGAUUUAAUGAGCUUACCAAAAUUAACUAUAGGUGAUGUGAUAACUGUCUCAAGCAACUCUUACACGGGAUUGCUCCAAAGAAACCCUAGACUCCUUGUUUGAUACUAUAUACUCCACCGCUAACGUUCAAUAUUCCUCAAUAAACAACAAAAGGGAAACAAAACAAGUGGUAUUUAGGGGUAAAAUGACCAUUUUUACCAUCUUACUUUACUACAAUGCUAUAUUGCUAUUUUACACAAUUACUUAUACUCACAUUAUGUGCAAAAAAAAAAGCAAUGCAUUUUUCUGCUAUCUCAUAAACAUGGUAAUUAUGGGUGAUUCAGAAAAAUAAAUAGGACUUCUUAGGGCAGGGGUAUUUUAGGUAACUAGAUUGUUUUAGUUUCUUAUGCACGGUAAAUGAAUUAGACAAGUAGAAAGACUAAAAGAAAACUAUGUUGUUAUUACUUAGCAAUUUCUUAUAUACUUUAACAACAAUGUACAUUGA